GUCAAGUCCUCAUGGCCUUUAUGCCCAGGGCUGCACACGUGCUACAAUGGGUAGUACAAAGGGAUGCGAACUUGCGAAAGUAAGCAAAUCCCAAAAAGCUGCCCUCAGUUCGGAUUGGAGUCUGCAACUCGACUCCAUGAAGCCGGAGUCGCUAGUAAUCGCGGAUCAGCAAAGCCGCGGUGAAUACGUUCUCGGGGAUU
rnacentral:rRNA from 1 species